UCAAGCAGAAAGGGCACAGGGCGGAUGCCUUGGCACUAAGGGCCGAAGAAAGACGUGAUAAGCUGCGAUAAGCUUCGGGGAGGAGCAAAUAUCCAUUGAUCCGGAGAUCUCUGAAUGGGGAAACCCACAUGAGCAAACCUCAUGUAUCCAUACGCCAAUCCAUAACGUAUGGAGGGGAACCCGGGGAACUGAAACAUCUAAGUACCCGGAGGAAAAGAAAGAAAACUCGAUUCCGUAAGUAGCGGCGAGCGAACGCGGAAGAGCCUAAACCGGUGUGCGUGCACACCGGGGUUACGGACUGCAUUUAAGAUUCUGCAAUGUUAGUGGAACGGUUUUGGGAAAGCCGGCCGGAGAGGGUGAAAGCCCCGUAGACGAAAACAGAGCAGACUGAGCAGGAUCCAGAGUACCGCGGGACACGAGAAACCCUGCGGGAAGUGAGGGGGACCACCCCCUAAGGCUAAAUACCACUUAGUGACCGAUAGCGCAUAGUACUGUGAAGGAAAGGUGAAAAGGACCCCGGGAGGGGAGUGAAAGAGAACCUGAAACCCUGUGUCUACAAGCUGUGGGAGUGCUUUAUAUGCACGACCGCGUACUUUUUGUAGAACGGUCCGGCGAGUUGCGCUCACUGGCAAGGUUAAGCACCGAAGGUGCGGAGCCGUAGGGAAACCAAGUCUUAAGAGGGCCAGAGUCAGUGGGGGCAGACCCGAAACCGGGUGAUCUAUCCAUGUCCAGGUUGAAGCUGCCGUAAGAGGCAGUGGAGGACCGAACCCACAUCCGUUGAAAAGGGUGGGGAUGAGGUGUGGAUAGGGGAGAAAUUCCAAUCGAACCCGGAGAUAGCUGGUUCUCCUCGAAAUAGCUUUAGGGCUAGCCUUGGUAGAGAUUUGCGGAGGUAGAGCACUGAAUUUCCUAGGGGGCGUCAAAGCCUACCGAAGAAUAUCAAACUCCGAAUGCCGUGUAAUUGCUUACCAGGAGUCAGACUGCACGAGAUAAGUUGGGCAGUCAAAAGGGAAAGAGCCCAGACCUUCAGUUAAGGUCCCAAAGUGUGCGUUAAGUGGAAAAGGAUGUGGGAUUUCGAAGACAACCAGGAUGUUGGCUCAGAAGCAGCCAUUCAUUCAAAGAGUGCGUAAUAGCUCACUGGUCGAGAGGUCCUGCGCCGAAAAUGUCCGGGGCUGAAACGCACCACCGAAACUAAGGGAUCCGAAAGGAUCGGUAGAGGAGCAUUGCAUGCGGGACGAAGCAGUACCGUAAGGAGCUGUGGACUGCAUGGAAGAGAGAAUGCCGGAAUGAGUAGCGAGAUAGAGGUGAGAAUCCUCUAGGCCGAAUAUCCAAGGUUUCCAGGGUAAAGCUGAUCUGCCCUGGGUAAGUCGGGGCCUAAGGUGAGGACGAGAGUCGUAGCCGAUGGACAACAGGUGGAGAUUCCUGUACUAUGAUAUGACAGAACUGUGGGGACACGUGCAGAGAGCGGAAGCCGGGAAUGGGAUCCCGGUGCAAGCGAGGUACCAGCCGCAUUGGAAAAACCGUGCGGCAAUGGGAAGACGUGAUGCGGAGUGAAGUUUAGUAAUGAAGUCCGUGAGCUGUGCGUCAAGAAAAGCCGCUAUUGUUCAUACCAUACCCGUACCGUAAACCGACACAGGUGGAUGAGGAGAGAAUCCUAAGGCCGGCGGAAGAAGCAUUGUCAAGGAACUCGGCAAAAUGACCCCGUAACUUCGGGAGAAGGGGUGCCACUGAGAAGUGGCCGCAGAGAAUAGGCUCAAGCAACUGUUUAGCAAAAACACAGGUCUAUGCGAAACCGUAAGGUGAGGUAUAUGGGCUGACGCCUGCCCGGUGCUGGAAGGUUAAGAGGAGAGGUUAGCGGAAACGCGAAGCUUUGAAUUUAAGCCCCAGUAAACGGCGGCCGUAACUAUAACGGUCCUAAGGUAGCGAAAUUCCUUGUCGGGUAAGUUCCGACCCGCACGAAAGGCGUAAUGAUUUGAGCGCUGUCUCGACAAUGCAUCCGGUGAAAUUGAAGUACCAGUGAAGAUGCUGGUUACCUGCGCCAGGACGGAAAGACCCCAUGGAGCUUUACUCCAGUUUGGUACUGGGAUCCGGUACUGCAUGUACAGGAUAGGUGGGAGGCUGAGAAUCGGUAACGCCAGUUGCCGAGGAGCCGCUGUUGGGAUACCACCCUUGC
rnacentral:rRNA from 1 species